GACGAACGCUGGCGGCGUGCUUAACACAUGCAAGUCGAACGAUGAACCACUUCGGUGGGGAUUAGUGGCGAACGGGUGAGUAACACGUGGGCAAUCUGCCCUUCACUCUGGGACAAGCCCUGGAAACGGGGUCUAAUACCGGAUAAUACUUUCACGGGCAUCUGUGAAGGUUGAAAGCUCCGGCGGUGAAGGAUGAGCCCGCGGCCUAUCAGCUUGUUGGUGAGGUAGUGGCUCACCAAGGCGACGACGGGUAGCCGGCCUGAGAGGGCGACCGGCCACACUGGGACUGAGACACGGCCCAGACUCCUACGGGAGGCAGCAGUGGGGAAUAUUGCACAAUGGGCGAAAGCCUGAUGCAGCGACGCCGCGUGAGGGAUGACGG
rnacentral:rRNA from 1 species